rnacentral:rRNA from 1 species
CCGGGAGGCAGCAGUGGGGAAUUUUGGACAAUGGGGGAAACCCUGAUCCAGCAAUGCCGCGUGUGUGAAGAAGGCCUUCGGGUUGUAAAGCACUUUUGUCCGGAAAGAAAACUUCUCCAUUAAUACCGGGGGAGGAUGACGGUACCGGAAGAAUAAGCACCGGCUAACUACGUGCCAGCAGCCGCGGUAAUACGUAGGGUGCGAGCGUUAAUCGGAAUUACUGGGCGUAAAGCGUGCGCAGGCGGUUCGUUAAGACAGAUGUGAAAUCCCCGGGCUUAACCUGGGAACUGCAUUUGUGACUGUCGAGCUAGAGUAUGGCAGAGGGGGGUAGAAUUCCACGUGUAGCAGUGAAAUGCGUAGAGAUGUGGAGGAAUACCGAUGGCGAAGGCAGCCCCCUGGGCCAAUACUGACGCUCAUGCACGAAAGCGUGGGGAGCAAACAGGAUUAGAUACCCUGGUAGUCCACGCCCUAAACGAUGUCAACUAGUUGUUGGGGAUUCAUUUCCUGAAGAACGUAAUUUCUUAAAAAGUGACCGCCGGGGAGCACGUCGCAAGA